rnacentral:siRNA from 1 species
GCGCCUAACGGCGUGCCUCGGCA